GAUGAACGCUAGCGGCAGGCUUAAUACAUGCAAGUCGAGGGGUAGCAAGAUUGUAGCAAUACAAUUGUUGACGACCGGCAAACGGGUGCGGAACACGUACACAACCUUCCUACAAGUGGGGAAUAGCCCAGAGAAAUUUGGAUUAAUACCCCGUAACAUAGCGAUGUGGCAUCACAUUGCUAUUAUAGCUUCGGCGCUUGUUGAUGGGUGUGCGGCUGAUUAGAUAGUUGGCGGGGUAACGGCCCACCAAGUCUACGAUCAGUAGCUGAUGUGAGAGCAUGAUCAGCCACACGGGCACUGAGACACGGGCCCGACUCCUACGGGAGGCAGCAGUAAGGAAUAUUGGACAAUGGACGCAAGUCUGAUUCAGCCAUGCCGCGUGAAGGAUUAAGGUCCUCUGGAUUGUAAACUUCUUUUAUAAGGGACGAAAAAAGGUCUUUCUAGAUCGUCUGACGGUACCUUAUGAAUAAGCACCGGCUAACUCAGUGCCAGCCGCCGCGGUAAGAC
rnacentral:rRNA from 1 species